UGGGGGAGAGGGUUAUUUAAAGAGCUAGGUACUAUGCUAAUUGAUGGAUCCAAAUAGCUUAUUAUGGCAUCCAGGUAUAAGUGAGGUUGGAGUUAUCCUCAGCCAGGAGCAGAAGGGUUUUGAUAGAGAGAGCUCUAAGGCCUGAGCUGCUUUGGAAAUUUACUCUGAUUCCAGCAGCUGAUGGCCAGUCAUUGAUAUAGCUGCACCAAUGCAAAUCACAUGACUAUAUGAAGAGAGCCAAUAUUUCUACCAGUGGAAGGAGCAGAUUGCUGAGAUCAGAACAAAUUCCUUGUAUACUCAAGGUUAAAUGUAGCCAAGCUGGAAGAGAGGUCUUAUGCCAAGAUAAAGAGAGGAGAUUUAUAUUGUGACUUCAUAAAGGUGUGGCUUGUUCAGAAUGGGACGGAAAUGGCCCCUGCUGAUGUGAAGAAUAAGACUGGAUGCAGCAUACGAAGGCUUUGGAGGAGUUUCAUAUGUACUCUGGCCCUUCAGUGGCUCCUGGUUGCCCUGUUUGAAGAUUUUGAAGAAAUAUGAAUAAUGUACUUCCUGUUACAAUAAAUAAUUUGGCUUGAUGCUACUUUGUGGACUUAAGGUGUUUAUGUUAAUCUGGAUCUUGGUUCUGCAUUCCUUCUGUACCCCAAGCUUGCAUUAAUUUAGGCCUGCUCUACCCACAAAGUUGCACCAGUUUAAUAAAAGAUGCAGUGUUAAAGUGAUUUAGUUAAACCAAUACCAAAUUCCAUGUGGAUACUCUUACACCUGGAUUAUAUCUAUUUAGAUAGCAUCGGUAAAUGUACACAAACUAAGCAGAUAUAGCCAGAUUUAAACCAGUAUCACUGUGUGCAAAGAGGGAUUUGCAUUGGU